rnacentral:lncRNA from 15 species
UAUUAGUUCUUUUAAAUUUGACCUCCUGUUGAUGUUGUUGUUGUUAUUAUUAUUAUUAUCAGUUUGUGGAUACUGCUGGAAACUGUGAAUUUCCCCUUGGGGAUGAAUAAAGUAUCUAUCUAACCUAACCUAAUCUAAUCUAAUCUAUAAAACAAAGAAGACCAGAGGGAGAGAGGGAGACUCGAUUGUAUUUGAAGUUUAAGUUGUUGUUCUUUUGGAGGGGGGGCUUUUUAUGUCUUUCAUUUGAUAGGACAAGUGAAGAUAGAGACAAAAGGGGGGAGAUAGAAAUAUGCAGCAAAGAGCUGCAGGUUGGAUUUGAACUCAGGCUGCUGCAGUUAGGACUCAGCAGAGUGAGUUGAGUGAGUACAUGGCUGAAAUGAGUGUCCAGUACAGACAAUGUACUUUUUUACGAGUGCGAGAGUCAUCAGAGUAAUAAUAUAUAUAUAUAUAUAUAUAUAUAUAUUUUACUUUUCUUAUUUUUCUUACUAUUGUGAUCAAAAACAUUGCUCUGAAGCUCAAUUCUGUAAAGGGUUUUCUAGUAUAUAUAGAAAUAUAGUGUAACAUAUAGGCUGUAUCGGUACUGGAGAACACAAUGUGAAGUUAUGGAAUAAGGGGGUAACAAUUUUGGAGAGAAUUUAUACUGUACACUGAAAAAAGUGUAACAUGCAGUUGUUCAUUCAACCUAAUAACUGCCAUUUAAAACAGGAUAAAAUUAUUGAUUUGAUUGUGAAACCCAUUCUUUUUGCAUUUAGAGACAUCAAGUUUGAUUCAUACUGAACUAAAUAUACGUCCAAAGGACCCAAAACUAAGUUUUUGAUUUCUCUCAAUUGUUUUUCUUUUUCUUUAUGACCUGCAGGUAAUAUUUUUAGUUUGAGUCGAAUGUGAAUGGCGCAUGCACAUUGCACACUGCACAGUCAGAGCACAUGUUAAGUCCCGUCGCUCUCUCUCGGCAUGCUGGCCAGAUUCACCAUUUGACAUCGUGGAUAUCGUUUACCUCCUGGGUGGAUUUCGUCGAAAAAUAAAUAACCACAAGGCUGCUCUCUUCAGUUCCCUGGCUGUAGCCUAUAUCUUCAUCCAACCUGAACAGUUAUUGGAUGUGGAAAUGCAAAGACUGCAGCCUGUCAUUUUCAGAACGGUCUGAGCUACUAAAACAAAAAAAGGCCGAUUGCCUAAUGUUAAUAUGUUGCAUAUUGUUCAUAUGUUAAAGAUUAAUAAAUACAUUUAACGUAAUCUGUUGGCCAAGUGUCUUUUUUUAUAGAGUUUAUAAAGUGGGUUAGGAUUAUGUGUAAUUAACUGGUGUCAAUACAAACAUUAACUCAUGUUAAUUCAGUUAAAAGUGAAUACGUUAGGUUGGUUCAAUUUCAAUUUAUUAGUUUGGUUCAAUAACUAAAAUGUUAAGAAAAUAAUUUGGAUCAAGGCAAAGAAUUAAGGUUGAGUCAAGUGCAUUAUUAUUGUUUACAUCAACAUAAAAUAAUCAGGUCAUAAGAAGUUACUCAAUUUAGAUUCUGUGAAGUCAAAUAUUUUAGACGUGAUAUCUGGACAUCAUUUUUUUUUGUUUGAGCAAAGUUAUACUUUUUUCAGUGUACCCCUUAACAUUUUAGUUAUUGAACCAAACUAAUAAGACGGGCUCAGUCUGAAUGUUUUGUUUACAAUGAACAAAUCUCCAGGCGCAAUAUCUGUUUAGCCCUGAAUGUAGCCUAAUUGGACUAGCGAUGGCUUUUGGCUAGCUUACAUUACCAAUACUUGUAAAAGCGCGUCACAAAUAAAUGUAUUAUUAUUCAUGGUCAUAACAUUACCGGUAAAUGCUAGCUAGCUAGCCUGCUACUGCCAACUAGCUAGCCAGCUACUGCCAGCUACAAUCAUGCCAGCUAUCGCCCCAUUUAAGUACUUAAAUUGGGCUACUCUUUGUAAUUUUGACAACACAAAACACUAAAACUUUAAUUAUCAGCAACUGCUUUGCUACUUACGUUUAUUUUUCGACGAAAUCCACCCAGGAGGUAAACGAUAUCCACGAUGUCAAAUGGUGCGUCUGGCCAGCAUGCCGAGAGAGAGCGACGGGACUUAACAUGUGCUCUGACUGUGCAGUGUGCAAUGUGCAUGCGCCAUUCACAUUCGACUCAAACUAAAAAUAUUACCUGCAGGUCAUGAAGAAAAAGAAAAACAAUUGAGAGAAAUCAAAAACUUAGUUUUGGGUCCUUUGGACGUAUAUUUAGUUCAGUAUAAAUCAAACUUGAUGUCUCUAAAUGCAAAAAGAAUGGGUUUCACAAUCAAAUCAAUAAUUUUAUCCUGUUUUAAAUGGCAGUUAUUAGUUUGUAUGAACAACUGCAUGUUACACUUUUUUCAGUGUAGUUAGUUUUAAAUUACUGUGUAUGUAUUCUGUUAUUCCAGGCUAUGUAUGACCUACUGAGCAAUUAUCUGGACGGUUGUGAGAAAUUUAGAGAUAAAUUAUACCAUUUUUUAAUUACUGGGUAAUUCUGUUAUUAAAGGGUAUGUAAGACAAUACCAAUAGCAAAAAAAAAAUAAAAUUGAGACUAAAAAAAGUUUUGAGAGAAAGUAUUUUCUCAU